rnacentral:rRNA from 1 species
AGGACGAACGCUGGCGGCGUGCUUAACACAUGCAAGUCGAGCGGUAAGGCCUCUUCGGGGGUACACGAGCGGCGAACGGGUGAGUAACACGUGGGUGACCUGCCCUCAGCUCUGGGAUAAGCCUGGGAAACCGGGUCUAAUACCGGAUAUGACUGUGCAUCGCAUGGUGUGUGGUGGAAAGUUCCUGGGCUUGGUUGUCUGGGUUCGGUUGGGGAUGGGCCGCGGCCUAUCAGCUUGUUGGUGGGGUGAUGGCCUACCAAGGCGACGAC